rnacentral:rRNA from 1 species
GACGAACCGAGCGACCGUUAUUCGGAAUCACUGGGCUUAAAGGGCGCGUAGGCGGGCGGUCAAGUCAGGGGUGAAAGCCUCCAGCUCAACUGGAGAAGUGCCUCUGAUACUGGCCGUCUCGAGGGAGGUAGGGGCGUGCGGAACUUCCGGUGGAGCGGUGAAAUGCGUAGAUAUCGGAAGGAACGUCGGUGGCGAAAGCGGCGCGCUGGACCUCUUCUGACGCUGAGGCGCGAAAGCCAGGGGAGCAAACGGG